UACGUAGGGUGCAAGCGUUGUCCGGAAUUAUUGGGCGUAAAGAGCUCGUAGGCGGUCUGUCGCGUCUGCUGUGAAAACUCGGGGCUUAACCCCGGGCCUGCAGUGGGUACGGGCAGACUAGGGUGCGGUAGGGGAGACUGGAAUUCCUGGUGUAGCGGUGAAAUGCGCAGAUAUCAGGAGGAACACCGGUGGCGAAGGCAGGUCUCUGGGCCGUAACUGACGCUGAGGAGCGAAAGCAUGGGGAGCGAACAGG
rnacentral:rRNA from 1 species